rnacentral:rRNA from 1 species
UACAGAGGGUGCGAGCGUUGUUCGGAAUUAUUGGGCGUAAAGGGCGCGUAGGCGGCGCCACAAGUCACUUGUGAAAACUCUGGGCUCAACUCAGAGCCUGCAAGCGAAACUGUGGUGCUGGAGUAUGGGAGAGGUGCGUGGAAUUCCCGGUGUAGCGGUGAAAUGCGUAGAUAUCUGGAGGAAUACCGGUGGCGAAGGCGGCAUCCUGGACCGACAUUGACGCUGAUGAGCGAAAGCUAGGGGAGCAAACGGG